CUGACUUUGGGUGGUAUGUAAAGCGAAUAUAUCGGUUUGAUCAAAUAGUGAUUGUUUCCACUUUAUACGUGGUAGAGGUGGUUCGUUAUCCUUGCUUGAUAAAUUCCUCUAUUGGAAUUUGAUUAAAAAAAGAGUCGGUAAAUAUCUUUCUAGGAUGGUUAACAACAGAGUGAAAGUGGGAAAUAUUUGGCGGGUUGUUGUGGGCGAGAGCACCUGAUAGCACAGUCCAUCGUGACCCGUGGUUCACUCUUGACGCUCCUGCAUUACCUUGUCCCUGUUUGGUGGCUCUAAAAUGUAAGGCGACACUGACACCUGUGACGCAACGACAAGCAGCAACAAUUAACAACAAUAAGAACAGGAGCAGUGAAAGUACAGCCGGUAACAAUAAUAUAAUACAACAUUUCCAUUAAUAAUGUCAUUGGUAAAAUAACAACAAGGAGAGCCAAAUUAUCAACAGUAACAGGAACAACAACAACAAGCAGUAGUGAGACAGCAACAGUAAUCAGUAAUGGCUUACUACCCGCCAUACACAACGGCAAUGUCUCCAGGUGGCGGCGACGACUUCCUGUUUUGGUUGCUCGUCGUCCCGCCGCUCUGGCUCUUUAACCUCCUCGUCUUCGCUCCUCUCCAACUCAUAUUCGGCCCAUUGAACUCUGUCUCCCAAUGUGACAGCUUCACUGGUGGUAUGAUUCCUUUCAUAAUCCGCUUGGUGCGAGGUCAGGAGGUCACCUGGGGGUUUGAAUCUUGUUAACCUGAUUCUCUAUACUAUGUGACAUAGUAACGUCAAGUGGGCGUCCAGCUGAGUCCUACGCCUCCCUCCCACGCCAUCCCCACAGCCAACCACCUCAUCCUACAUGUACUGAAAGAGGCUGCAGGACCUCCACCAUAGACAGUUUAUCCUGCAGGAGAGAGAACAGCCUGUAUGACCCAUCACCGUCAGUAUCAACAGGUCGUCUCCUCCUGCCAGUAAAUGUUCUUUGUUGUCUGGCGCCGUCAUACUCACCUGCAUUCAUGUAUUAGUAUUAAGAGCAAAUUAUGCAUAUAAAAAUAUUUAAUAUUUUAUAAUUAGUAGUACAUAAUGUUUGUUUUUAAUAUUGAGAAUAAAUCGAUGUUGAAGUGA